rnacentral:rRNA from 1 species
UACGUAGGCAGCGAGCGUUGUUCGGAAUUACUGGGCGUAAAGAGUGUGUAGGCGGUGCUCUAAGUUCGGUGUGAAAUCUCCUGGCUCAACUGGGAGGGUGCGCCGGAAACUGGAGUGCUUGAGCGUGGGAGAGGAAAGCGGAAUUCCUGGUGUAGCGGUGAAAUGCGUAGAUAUCAGGAGGAACACCUGUGGUGUAGACGGCUCUCUGGACCGCCACUGACGCUGAGACACGAAAGCGUGGGUAGCAAACAGG